AGAGUUUGAUCCUGGCUCAGGACGAACGCUGGCGGCGUGCUUAACACAUGCAAGUCGAGCGGAAAGGCCCUUCGGGGUACUCGAGCGGCGAACGGGUGAGUAACACGUGAGCAACCUGCCCCUGGCUCUGGGAUAGCCUCCGGAAACGGGGAUUAAUACCGGACAUUCUCCUUCUUCCGCAUGGUUGAGGGUGGAAAGUUUUUUCGGCCGGGGAGGGGCUCGCGGCCUAUCAGCUUGUUGGCGGGGUAACGGCCCACCAAGGCGACGACGGGUAGCCGGCCUGAGAGGGCGACCGGCCACACUGGGACUGAGACACGGCCCAGACUCCUACGGGAGGCAGCAGUGGGGAAUAUUGCGCAAUGGGCGGAAGCCUGACGCAGCGACGCCGCGUGGGGGAUGAAGGCCUUCGGGUUGUAAACCCCUUUCACCAGGAGCGAAUCCAGACGGUACCUGGGGAAGAAGCGCCGGCUAACUACGUGCCAGCAGCCGCGGUAAUACGUAGGGCGCAAGCGUUGUCCGGAAUUAUUGGGCGUAAAGAGCUCGUAGGCGGCCUGUCGCGUCCGCUGUGAAAUCCUGGGGCUUAACCCCGGGCGUGCAGUGGAUACGGGCUGGCUAGAGGCAGGCAGGGGAGAACGGAAUUCCCGGUGUAGCGGUGAAAUGCGCAGAUAUCGGGAGGAACACCGGUGGCGAAGGCGGUUCUCUGGGCCUGUUCUGACGCUGAGGAGCGAAAGCGUGGGGAGCGAACAGGAUUAGAUACCCUGGUAGUCCACGCCGUAAACGUUGGGCGCUAGGUGUGGGACCCUUCCACGGGUUCUGUGCCGCAGCUAACGCAUUAAGCGCCCCGCCUGGGGAGUACGGCCGCAAGGCUAAAACUCAAAGGAAUUGACGG
rnacentral:rRNA from 1 species